rnacentral:rRNA from 1 species
GAUGAACGCUGGCGGCGUGCCUAAUACAUGCAAGUCGAGCGAAUGGAUUAAGAGCUUGCUCUUAUGAAGUUAGCGGCGGACGGGUGAGUAACACGUGGGUAACCUGCCUAUAGGACUGGGAUAACUCCGGGAAACCGGGGCUAAUACCGGAUAACAUUUUGAACCGCAGGGUUCGAAAUUGAAAGGCGGCAUCGGCUGUCACUUAUGGAUGGACCCGCGUCGCAUUAGCUAGUUGGGGAGGUAACGGCUCACCAAGGCAACGAUGCGUAGCCGACCUGAGAGGGUGAUCGGCCACACUGGGACUGAGACACGGCCAGACUCCUAAGGGAGGCAGCAGUAGGGAAUCUUCCGAAAUGGACGAAAGUCUGACGGAGCAACGCCGCGUGAGUGAUGAAGGCUUUCGGGUCGUAAAACUCUGUUGUUAGGGAAGAACAAGUGCUAGUUGAAUAAGCUGGCACCUUGACGGUACCUAACCAGAAAGCCACGGCUAACUACGUGCCAGCCGCCGCGGUAA